rnacentral:rRNA from 1 species
CCUACGGGAGGCUGCAGUGGGGAAUAUUGCACAAUGGGCGAAAGCCUGAUGCAGCAACGCCGCGUGAGGGAUGACGGCCUUCGGGUUGAAACCUCUUUUAGUAAGGAAGCGGUACUUGCAGAAAAAGCACCGGCUAACUACGUGCCAGCAGCCGCGGUAAUACGUAGGGUGCAAGCGUUGUCCGGAAUUAUUGGGCGUAAAGAGCUCGUAGGCGGUUUGUCGCGUCUGCUGUGAAAUCCUGAGGCUCAACCUCGGGCUUGCAGUGGGUACGGGCAGACUAGAGUGCGGUAGGGGAGAUUGGAAUUCCUGGUGUAGCGGUGGAAUGCGCAGAUAUCAGGAGGAACACCGAUGGCGAAGGCAGAUCUCUGGGCCGUACUGACGCUGAGGAGCGAAAGCAUGGGGAGCGAACAGGAUUAGAUACCCUUGUAGUC